GAUGAAGAACGUAGCGAAAUGCGAUACUUGGUGUGAAUUGCAGAAUCCCGUGAACCAUCGAGUCUUUGAACGCAAGUUGCGCCCGAAGCCAUUAGGCCGAGGGCACGCCUGCCUGGGCGUCACACGUCGUUGCCCCCCCAUCUACUCCUUCGGGAUUGCGGGGGGCGGAUGAUGGCCUCCCGUGCGCCUCGUCGCGCGGUUGGCCUAAAUGCCAAGUCCUCGGCGACGCACGCCACGACAAUCGGUGGUUGCGAAACCUCGGUUGCCCGUCGUGUGCGGUCGUCGCGCAUCGAGGGCUCGAAAAAAUUGCCGGGCUCCGGCUCGACUUUCAACGCGACCCCAGGUCAGGCGGGGUUACCCGCUGAAUUUAAGCAUAUCAAUAAGCGGAGGA
rnacentral:misc_RNA from 1 species